rnacentral:rRNA from 1 species
UACGGAGGGUGCAAGCGUUGUCCGGAUUUAUUGGGUUUAAAGGGUGCGUAGGUGGUUUUCUAAGUCUGGUUUGAAAGCUGGUGGCUUAACCAUCAGAUGUGGCUGGAAACUGGAGGACUUGAAUGCGUUGGCGGUAGCCGGAACGGGUCAUGUAGCGGUGAAAUGCAUAGAUAUGACCCAGAACACCGAUUGCGAAGGCGGGCUACUACGACGUGAUUGACACUGAGGCACGAGAGCAUGGGUAGCGAACAGG